AGCUCCAAUAGGAUAUAUCAAAGUUGUUGCAGUUGAAAAGCUCGUAGUCGUGGGUGGGGCUGUUAGGGCUCCGUUUGCCCCAGCUUUGUUGGGGCUCCGUCACUGAGAGCAAACUGGAGUGCUCAAGGCGGCCGCGGGCAAUGCGGCUGUGAACAUCUUAGCUUGGAAUGACAAGGCACGACGCUCGCUCUUGUUGGUCGAUUGCGGGGUAAUGGCAAACAGGAACAGUCGCGGGGACACUCGUACUGGAAAGCUAGAGGUGAAAUUCUUGGAUUUUUCCACGACGAACGACUGCGAAGGCAUCUGUCCAGGAUGUUUUCA
rnacentral:rRNA from 1 species